GAGGGAAGGGCCGAGCAGCCGCCCCUCGGUCCCUGAAGCGCGACGGCUCCCUUCCCGAAGCACCGCUCCCCCCAGGACCCUCCCGCCCACCGCCCACCCAUUGAAGCCGGGCCGCUCCAAGGACGGCGCGGCAGCCGUAGCCACCAACGGAGUUCCACAGCCUCCAAACUGCCUCCAAACUCUGGACGGGUCUUUGCUGUCAGUGUACAACGGCACCACCUUCAGUCUCUGAAGAUGGAACAGACUUAGGAUAUUUGUGUGGCCUGAGGAAGCCCAAUUCAGUGAAUUUUGGCCUUUUCGGGUGAUUCAUUUCAUCCUCGCUCAACUGUCAGCAGUAGGAAGCCCUACUGUAACUGCAGUGAAAAGAUAGGUGCACUGCAUUGCUUUCUGUAGAACAGCAUUUGAUUUCGCCCCAGUUUGCAGAAUGAAUGCAGAUUUCAUUAUCUUUAUUUCCUCAGCUUUCCACAUAGAAUGAAGUUGUUUAUAUAUAUCGACAUUGCUCAGUAUCUUAGAAACAGAGGGAAUUGCUCUCCAUGAUGUUGUUCCACAGCAAAGCUUUGGGAAUGAAAGACUAUUCUCAACAGCAUGAAUUUUAGUCUCUUUCCAGUUUAUUUUGAGGAAGCUUCUCCAUAGAAUCCAAGCCAGUGGAUCAGGCAUGUGGUUAAAAUGGUAAAACAGCAUGAGUAUUGAAAUUCCUUAAUUACAGGGACAUCCCAGUCAGUGUCUGGAGAGAAGGUGGGAAAUACAUUACAUUAUUCAAUGUCUGUCCUAAAUAAACGUUCCUCACUGUACAGCUCUCAAGGUAGGGUCUUGCUCACUGCUUACAAAUAGGACAGUUUCAUCAGCAGUUGGAGAUACCUCUUCUUAUCAAAUAGCUGAAUGCUUAUGAAGCAGUGCAGUGUAGGCUAGUUGUGGUUUACACUUAUUAAAGCAUAAUUAUAGCUCAGACUUACUACAGUUUAAAUGCUACAAACACAUUACUGGUUCUAUCAUGCAUCAAAAAUGUUUUGAUCACUAGGCUCAGGGGAACAUGUAAACCCAUCUUUGACAAACUUACAUGAUCAGCUUCAUAUCUGAUCAUUUAUGUAAUUUAUAUCUCCAGACCUGCUUAGAGACUAAAGUUAGUUCACUUCCCAGCUAAACUUCAAGAGCUGUGGAGGCCAGUGGGAGAUUUUCCAUUGAUGUCAGUGAACUGUGGAUCAGGUCUGAGGAGAUAAAUCCAGUUCUUUCAGAAGCCAGUAGGAAUUGGGGUGAUAAUGGGACACAGCCUGGGUCUUUACCACGUGAUUUGGAUGAAUGGGCUUGUGACACUCCACAGACACAGUAAAUGGCCAAAAUCUGCUUUCAGGGAAAGUUGCAAGAAUCUGUGAGUCACUCCUGAAGCACCAGGAAAUGCUGAAGGUGGGGCUGUGACAUGAAUUGUGGUCAACAGAUGGAGAGAUGAGUGGGGAGAGGAUGACAGGUUUCGCUGGAGUAUUUGGCAAUCUAGCUCUAACUGAGAUUUUUUUAGAGGCUUCAAAUCUGGCCAGUUUUGGGCGUGCUCUCCUGAGGAUGACCAAAGGUUUGUCCCUAACAAAUAGGCCCUGUAUUAUGCCAAAGCACAAAAGACAGUGCUACUGCUGUUUGCCCACAAAAUGAACGAUGUUGGAAAAUGUGUGAUGAUUGGUUAGGUCUGACGAAGUUAUGAACAAACAGGAACAGUUCUGCACUCCAGUGACAAGUUUUUUGUAAACUCAGACACUUCCUAUUAGGAUAUUUGUAUAAUGUUAUUUUUAUCUUUAUUUUUAUGUUUAUUUUUAUUUAUUUUUUAUUGCAGACUCUAUUGUCUACACAAAAUGAAGCCUUGAAAGGACCAUAAGAAGAGACAAAACUGAAAAAUUACAUAUAGUGUCUUGUUCACUAUAUGUUUCUGAACAUGCCAGACCUUCACAAACCAAUGCGUGCUUCUGCUCACUGACUUAUUUUUGAGCAGUGUUACAUACAGUCAAGUACUAUUGUGUUUAUUUUUGCCUUGUUUCCAGAUAGUUUUGAAUACUGAAAGUUUAUAAAAGUAACAGUAUUUGUUUGUUUUGCUGGAAUUGUUGUGCACACUGGAGAUGGAAAUUAGAUCAGAGGCAAUGGCAACACUCAAAAGCCUGUCCUCAUCUUAGAAGCUCGCAGCUUGGUACUCCAUCAAGCUGCAAACCUUUGGCUGAAAGUAAGAGUGUCUGAAGCAAACAGCUGUUGGUUCAGAGGUUCUUAAAACUAGACGGGGUGCAACCACAGGAGAGAAAUGCUCAUGUAAUUAACGUGUGUUCUAUUUGCAUCUUUGAGGAUUAUAGAAACCAACCUGUCUGAUACAUCAUGGCAUCCUCACCUUUCUUCUAGGGCUUGGUCUUAGCCCCAGUGGGUGGGGUCACUAACUGACUCAUCAUUCCUCACUUUACUGCCCUGGAAACGCAUCUUCAUGACUCUUAUACCUACAGAGUAUUUAGAACAUCUGUUGUCAGCAUUCAAAGCUGCUUAAAAUGCACAGCAUGAGAAGUAAAAACUGGAGUAAGUCUAUAUCCAGACUACUUUGUAGCUGGGAGGCAAGCAUAUUCAAAACAGGUGGUUAUACGGGCAGAUAGCUGUCCUGUUUCUCAGUAUGGUGGCAGUACUUCCCUUGUGACCUGGAGGUGUCUGCCAUUAAAUCUCCUUGUGUUGGAUUGAGCGUGCACAGGUCACUACAAGACAAGCUAGAGUAGAUUUGUGGCUUGUCAGUCAGCUAAUGCACAGUAGCAGCCUAUGAACAGAGUUGGACCUGGCAGUAUGCAGAAGACAUCUAUUCCUCAAAGAGAACAGGGUCACAGCAAGCACACAGGCAGUUUCCAUGGAGCGGCGAACCUGCUGUAAAUCCCCACCCAGUCUUGCCUCAUUGCAACACGUAUGUGUAGUCAUACCCAAAGCAAAGGUGAACAAAUAGAGCGAUGAGACGAGCAGAAAAAUCUAAGCCCACAAACAUCACUGAGCAAAGCACCGUGAGCCUCACAGAGCAGGGGUAAAGAAGUUAGGUGUGCCAUAGCUCACACUGUGUGGUGAAACUGAAAUAAAUGGCUUUUGUGUUGAAACAC